UCAGUGCUUGUAUAGUGGUUAUUAUGCCUGCCUUCCAAGCAUGCAGCCCGGGUUCAUAUCCCGGUUACUGCC